rnacentral:lncRNA from 1 species
GCACCUGCGCUUGGCCGCGCUGAGUGAGCUAAUCUUGGAGCCUCCAAGGCGGCUUCCUGGCACCGCCGCGCCCUUCUGCACCCAAGCGAGAGUGGACGGGACCUCCGUCGCCCGCCCCAAAUGCUCUGAAGAGCCCGGAGCCUGGUGCCCGGAAUGUGGCGGCACCGGAAAGCCGGCUCUCGCCUGGCUGUGGUCAGUGACUCCCGUGUGGCCCCGGCUGACGCCUUCGCCCGUGCUCACGUCCGACUUUGUAGGACUGUAGUGGACCGGGUGUGCCCAGAUGCUUGAAGAGCGUACUGAGUGUGCCGCCCUUGCCAGGGUUCUGGGCCCUCACGCAUAAAGUGGGAUAAUAAUAUCUGCCUCUUAGAAUGGUUGUUAAGGAUUCAGUUAGUUAAUUUUAACUAGUCAUUUAUUUGGCAGCAGCGUAGAAUUCUUGUAUCCUGAUCGUAAAUAAAAGCAAAGAAAAACGAA